AACGAACGCUGGCGGCAUGCCUAACACAUGCAAGUCGAACGAGACCUUCGGGUCUAGUGGCGCACGGGUGCGUAACGCGUGGGAACCUGCCCUUAGGUUCGGAAUAACUCCCCGAAAGGGGUGCUAAUACCGGAUAAUGUCUUCGGACCAAAGAUUUAUCGCCUUUGGAUGGGCCCGCGUUGGAUUAGCUAGUUGGUAGGGCAAAAGCCUACCAAGGCGACGAUCCAUAGCUGGUCUGAGAGGAUGAUCAGCCACACUGGGACUGAGACACGGCCCAGACUCCUACGGGAGGCAGCAGUGGGGAAUAUUGGACAAUGGGUGAAAGCCUGAUCCAGCAAUGCCGCGUGAGUGAUGAAGGCCUUAGGGUUGUAAAGCUCUUUUACCCGGGAUGAUAAUGACAGUACCGGGAGAAUAAGCUCCGGCUAACUCCGUG
rnacentral:rRNA from 1 species